AACAAAGGGAGUGUGCCUUUGGCUUGUAUGGUUCAUUAGCUAUGUAUUUUGUGACACAUUUAAAGAAUAUUUAAGUGGAAAUUAAGUAAAAGUGCAGCAUCAAAUCAUGAGGUCACCUUUAUUGUAAUCAUUAAAGAGCAGGUCAUAUCAGAGUCAGAUUUUUUGGGGGGGGGGGGGGGGGGCAAUAAAAAAACAUUUCUCAAGAGCAAUUUUUAAAGGGAACUCAAAUAAUGCAGCUAUAAUUUUACUUGUAAGGAUAAGUAUGCACAGUGGAAAGCCUUACUGCUAUUACAUAGCAACCCUGCCCAAUCGUGGUAAAAAUCACAUUCCGGGGGGUAAAUAUCAUGUUAUUAAGGUCAAUUAAACAGGUUUAAAUGCAUCUAAGGUCAGAAAACAUUGUAUUUUUCUCAGAAUAUACAUUUAAUAUUAGAAUCAUUUUUCAAUGAUUUAGAAAUGAUUAGUUCGAAGCAGUCCUGCGCUUAAAGUCUGAUUGGUCAGCUGGCCAGCUCUUGUGAUUGGUCUUUCCAUAUACAAUGCAUGUAGGGAACGAAACGCCCAUUACCAUUUAAUUUUUUGCUCAGGAGGGUUACUUGUAAACAAAGAUGCUAUAAGUUUACAAACAUGGCAUCGAUAUUACCCUAUCAAUUCGAGCCCGAGACCGAAGAUGAUGAUAAUGCAGUCACUCAACCAGAAACUCCCAUCGCAAGCAUGACUUGAUCAGGACGUUUCUCAGUGGUAAGUUUAAACUUUGUAUGUGCCACUUUACAUGAUGUGACAGCAGUUUUAUUGCAUUCAUUUUAUUUAUUCGAGGUGCAAGUAGACAUGAUGUAGGUGAUGUGAACACACUAACUAGCGGAAUUGUUUGUAGACAGGUCAAAGUGUUUAAAUUUUGCGGGCAGGCAGGGCUUAUGCAAAUGUGUUACUUUGUGACGUACAUAUAUAACAGGCAGAAGAUUAAAAAAUAUGAUGACUCAGUGCAGUUCAGAGUUGACUCAUUUAAGGGACAAUAUCUUUAUUUAUCAUGCACUUUUUUGAUGAACAACUGUGCAGACCAUUUACAUUGAAGGAUAGCUACGUUUGUAAACUGCAAAAAAUAAAUUUCUCGAAAACCCAUAUGACCUGCUCUUUAAUAUCUUGAGGUGAACCAAUAGCUUUAUUUCAUUUCAUUUCAUGUUUGUUUUUUGAGAGUGUUGUUUCCAAAAUUGCUGGUAAAAACAGGUUUAAAUGGUUUUGGGUGAAGAUUUAACUGUGAAUCCAGAGAUAACUUGAAUAUGAAAUCAUUGUGCAUAGCACUGUUUAUCACUGUUAAUAACUCACUGUUCCCCUAGGUGGCAUGUUUUCAGUUCUGUGCAUCAGAUCUCAGUUUGUACUGUUUAUACACUAAUACCUGAAUUGCUGUAUGAUUAGACUACAUAGGUUUAAGCACCAUGCGUUAAUAAAAAUAUAUAAUACAGUAUGUUAAGAUUAAAGUCUUAUUGUGUUUCUAAAGUUAAAUUGGAUUUAAUGGAGUAGAUCUGCAGACAUCACUGGGUGAUUCAUUCAGAUCUGUCUUAGGACUUUUCACUGUGAUUGCCAAUUUAGGAAAAAAAAAAAAUGUAUGAUUAUAUUCAGACCUUUGCCCAGUACCGCCGCUUCCUAUGCUUUUUCGUUCUAUAUUAAUAUUAACAUAUGCAUAUAAAUAAAUCUAAACAUGAAUAUAUACAUAUAUAC
ensembl:lncRNA